UGGUGGAGUGAUUUGUCUGGUUAAUUCCGUUAACGAACGAGACCUCGACCUGCUAAAUAGUUUGGCGAAUUCCCUGUGGAUUCGCACAUAACUUCUAGAGGGACUAUCGGUUCGCAGCCGGUGGAAGUUCGAGGCAAUAACA
rnacentral:rRNA from 1 species